ACUCCUACGGGAGGCAGCAGUGGGGAAUAUUGCACAAUGGGGGAAAGCCCAUCGAUCCAGCCAUGCCGCGUGUGUGAAGAAGGCCUUCGGGUUGUAAAGCACUUUCAGUGGGGAGGAAAGGUUGAUGGUUAAUACCUAUCAGCUGUGACGUUACCCACAGAAGAAGCACCGGCUAACUCCGUGCCAGCAGCCGCGGUAAUACGGAGGGUGCAAGCGUUAAUCGGAAUUACUGGGCGUAAAGCGUGCGCAGGCGGUCUGUUAAGCGAGAUGUGAAAGCCCC
rnacentral:rRNA from 1 species